AGACGGACGCUAGGAAAUCACUAAUGUCCCACAUGGCACAAGGACUCUCCUCUUCUUGAGACAAGUCUCAACCUGUAACCUAAGAUGGUCUGAAUCUUACUGUGUAGUUCAGGUUCGCCACAAGCCCACAGCAAGUCUUCUGCUCCAGCUACUCAAGCGCUAGAGUUAUAGGAAAGGAGCACCAUCCUGGCUCUCGUCCCUUUCUUUCUGAAGUUCUGGCUUGCUCUGAUAUCAGCUUCAGGACUAGUUCUCUCUGACCUUCUGAUUUAAGAGCCCGAAGAUGCCUGGGUGUGCCUCAGCCCGUCUCUGUGUUCUGAUCCCAAAUUCUCAAGACAGAUCACUGGAUCCAUGUCUAUCAGGGCAACGAUAUCUAAUCGGUAGAUCGUUGGCUGUAGCUCAAGUGGAGAAAGACUGAAUGUGUGAAGGAGCAACAAUGUGUGGGGAGGUGGGGACAUACGCUGGAGCAGACAUCAAUUUCCCAGGAGUGGAGAGAAGACAUAUUGAAAGAAAUCAGGAUCGUGUCAGCACAG
rnacentral:lncRNA from 1 species